UACGUAGGCAGCGAGCGUUGUUCGGAAUUACUGGGCGUAAAGCGCACGUAGGCGGCUUUGUAAGUUAGAGGUGAAAGCCCAGGGCUUAACCCUGGAAUUGCCUUUAAGACUGCAUCGCUAGAAUCGUGGAGAGGUGCGUGGAAUUCCCGGUGUAGCGGUGAAUGCGUAGAUAUCGGGAGGAACACCUGUGGCGAAAGCGGCGCACUGGACCACAACUGACGCUGAGGCGCGAAAGCUAGGGGAGCAAACAGG
rnacentral:rRNA from 1 species